rnacentral:misc_RNA from 1 species
AAAAAUGGUUUCAAGGAACAGCAGAUGCUGUCAGAAAAUUUAUAUGGGUUUUUGAGGACGCUAAGAACAAGAAUAUUGAAAAUAUCCUUGUAUUAUCUGGGGAUCAUCUUUAUAGGAUGGAUUAUAUGGAGUUGGUGCAGAACCAUAUUGACAGAAAUGCUGAUAUUACUCUUUCAUGUGCACCAGCUGAGGACAGCCGAGCAUCAGAUUUUGGGCUGGUCAAGAUUGACAGCAGAGGCAGAGUUGUCCAGUUUGCUGAAAAACCAAAAGGUUUUGAGCUUAAAGCAAUGCAAGUAGA